CGCAUUUUACAAUAUUUCGCAACGAAAUUUCGGAAUAUUACUAAUUUUGUGAUGCUCUUUCAAGCUGUGAUGAACUUUUUGUCCAGACUUGUCUAGAUCAAAAUUUCACUCAUAAGGGGAAAGGUCUAUUUGUCGCCGAAUGUGCUCUCCUGGGUCACAGAGUAAGUACAUACAGAGGUCUCACUACAGUUUAAUUAAGUCUGCCAUGUUCUUAAGCUAGUUGUUCAGUAUUGGAAUUGUAGUUGUUUCAGUGUGUUUGCAUCACUCACAAUAAACCUUUCCCGGUAGCGACAUCACGACUAACACUGUUUUCAACUUAGGACCACCUUAAAUGGAAUGGAUUUUAAGUUUGUUUCUCACGGACUAUGGUCAGAAAAGCAGAACGUCCUUCUUCAACACAUGCAUCAAAAAGAAUUUUGAAUUUUGACUAUUAAAUGUGGAAAUAAGCUUUAACACGAAAACGAGGCUGAGGGGCCAUGGCCC
rnacentral:lncRNA from 1 species